rnacentral:lncRNA from 1 species
GAGACUAAGCCCACUUUUUCUUCUUUAACGUAGAUAAAAUAUUAUUUGUAAAAAAACAAAAACGAAUUAAGAAAAAAUUAAACUCGAUUUGUCUGCAUUCUUUCAUAUAUUACUCAAAACUAAAGAGACGAAAAGGUAUAAUAAUAUAUGUGAUCAGUUUGUCAGCCUGGCGUUGAACAUGGCAUGUGGCCACGUGGGAUUCCACUAAUUAAUAACAACUGUUUGAAUCUGGUUUCACCAUACAGCCUACCUACCAAUUUGGAGAGGAAGAGGAAAUGGAAAUAUACUGCAUGAUUUGUAUGAUUUUACGACUGGUUAGCAUCUUAUUAAGCUACUAAUUGGUUUGCACUUAAAAGCACUUGUAUAUGUAUAUUCAAUACGAUGGUUGUACUUUGGGAUCAGGAUGAUCCUGAGACCAUCCGUAGGCCAGGAAACAAGCAUGUGAAGGUCAUCUAAGGACUCUUCGAAUGUUUGGUACAUAUAUCUUUUUGUACUCACUAAGUGUUUGAUGUAAUGUUUACAAGGCAUAUCUUGACAAGUUGCGUCAACAAACACUCUCUAUAACACUCAUCAGAUUGCUUCAGCAAAUGUUGAUAUUUAUUGACAUAUAAACAAUAGAUAUCGACAUUUGUACACUUUUUGCCAAGUUUCUAUCUAAAAACUUGAACCUUUUAACAUUAGCACCCAAAAAAUUCAAAUCCUAAAUCUACCGGUGUGGAUAUAUGUAUAUUAUGUACAACUUUCAAGUUGUUCCAUCAAUUAUGCAUUCAUUCAUAUAAAUAUUUUUGUAGCAUUGUACCAACUCUGCCUUCAUAUUCUAGAACCAGAUAGAUAAAGUUAUUAUUGUAGCUGCUGCCCCUUCAUGUUCUAUACAGGUAGAGAGGAUCAUACUCAAUCACAACAGACAUUUAAUAACAAACAUAUAUCUUCUGUCUCAAUCCCUAAAAUCAAUGGUCAAAUUACAUUUCACCUCCUACAUGCUUACUCAAAAUUAGAUUCAUUGCAAUGUUAGCUUCCGUCACAUAAUGUGUUACUUAGAUUUUCGCUGAUCUAGAAGCCAAUAGUAGGUCACGCAGAUGAAAGCCAAUAUAAAAGAAGUAAUGUUAUUUAGACACAAAAAAGAAUAAUCACAUUACUAUCGGAAUGAGUCCCAUGUAUGUUGGAAAAUGAUUUCCGCAUACACCGUAACGUAUUUAUUUAUGUCCCUAGGCUAGAUUGUCGGAUCAUUAUUCAUCUUGGAUUAGGGCUUGAAUGAUUAUUGGAAUGGGCAAGAUAAAACCCAAUGGGCUUCCAAAUCAUUUAUAAAGCCCGUUUUAUUACAUCUUACCA